rnacentral:rRNA from 1 species
UUCUUCAGAAAAAUUUUUUAGGAAAAUUAAUUGAUUAGAAGGAAUUCGGCAAGUUUAGUUGCUUCGCCUGUUUAUCAAAAACAUGGCUCUUUGUUUAUAUAAAUAUGAAGAGUCGAGCCUGCCCAGUGAAUUUUUCAACGGCCGCGGUACUCUGACCGUGCAAAGGUAGCAUAAUCAUUUGCCUUAUAAUUGAAGGCUAGUAUGAAUGGUUUGACGAAAGCAAUACUGUCUCCUUUUUAUUUUCAAGAACUUAACCUUUAGGUGAAGAGGCCUAAAUUUUAUUGAAGGACAAGAAGACCCUGUCGAGCUUAAAAGAUGCCGUAGAAGUUUAAUAUACUUUUAAAUAAAUUUUCUAUCAAGCUUUUUAGUUGGGGCGACUAAGGAACAAAAAAAGCUUCUUCUUGACAAUAAACAGUCAUGUUUAGAUCCGAUAGUAUAACGAUUAAAGGAAUUAGUUACCGCAGGGAUAACAGCAUAAUCUCUCUUAAGAGACCUAAUCGAAAGAGGGGGUUGUGACCUCGAUGUUGGACUAGAAUGUCCUGAAGAUGCA